AAGGAGGGGUUCAAAGUGAAGAAUUGGGGCACUACUAUAUUCCCCCUCUUCUUACUGAGGAAGAGCAUAUUUAAGGAAGCCGACUCUCGUUCUUUAUCUACGGGAAUAUGAAAAGUAGACCUGUCGCGCUUCGAAGAAAGGUAGUUCCCUGGGGUCUGUCUAUCUUACUAUAUAUACGAUGCACCUAGGUUUAUAAGGAAGCCGACUCUCGUUCUUUAUCUACGGGAAUAUGAAAAGUAGACCUGUCGCGCUUCGAAGAAAGGUAGUUCCCUGGGGUCUGUCUAUCUUACUAUAUAUACGAUGCACCUAGGUUUCCAGACAUUUAGACUGAAGUCUGAUAAGGCAAGAAGCAUUUUCUCUAAAAGUGAUAACCUUUUU
rnacentral:lncRNA from 1 species